rnacentral:misc_RNA from 1 species
UUCGAUCCCCGCACAUGACAAACAUUUGUAUUUGCCAUACAGGUGUUUGCCGUGGUCUGGGUGUUUGUGCAGUCCUCGUGGGUCUCCCCACCGUGCCUCGGAGAGCACGUUAAGCCGUCGGUCCCGGUUGUUAUCAUGUACACCUGAUAGCGAUCGUUACUCAUAGUAGGGAAUAUAUCCGCCAACCCGCAUUGGAACAGCGUGGUGGAUUAAGCUCUGAUCCUUCUCCUACAUGGGGAAAGAGGCCUAUGUCCAGUAGUGGGAUAUUACAGGCUGAAGCGU